CCUGUGACUCUGAUUCUCCUACCCUCUGACCUAUAAGUACAGGCUGACUGAGCCCUGCACACCACUCUCUCCUGUCCUCUCACUUGACCCUGAGCUCCAGGUGACCCUCAGCCAUGAGGACCCUCACUCUCCUCGCCACCCUUCUCCUCUUGACCCUCCAGGCCCAGGCUCAGACCCUCCAAGACACAGCUGACCAGCUUCCCGCCCAGGACCAGCCUGAAGCCAAGGACCAAGGCGAACUUUGGGCUGAGGACCAGGACCAGGCUGAGGACAGUGACCAGGACGUGGCCAUCUCCUUCACAGGAGAGGAACGCCUCACUCGAGCUUUAGGAGUUAGGAAAGAAGCCAGAUGCACAUGCACACACAAAAAAUUGUGCAAUUUCCCUAGAAAAAAAUAUGGGUUAUGCCGGUCUCAUGGCCGUAUACGCAAGCUUUGCUGUGACUAAGCUUUUGCUCAGAGACCCGAAGCACUGCGAGAUGCCACUGAAGACCUGAAGUAGCUUUCAGUCUUUGUACCGGUGCCUUUUCUUCUUUCUCUCUCCAUAAUAAACUUCAGGCAUUAAACUCA